rnacentral:lncRNA from 1 species
GCGCCGCCCAGGCGCGACCGCACCGGCCGCCGACCCUGCCGGGCUUUCUUCGCGCGCCCUCUUCGCAUGUACGAGAACACCGAAAGCCGGCCAGAGGUCGCUGCGUCCAGGCGCUCUCCGACUGGUCAGCACCAGGGGGUGUGCGCUCUGAGCAACCCACCAGGUGGCCUAUCUAAACAGCGCAAAGCAGUGGAGCAUGGGAAGAAGUCAUGCAAGGAGAAGAGAACAAGCUUCCAAGCAGGCCUCUCCCAUCUUACUGGUGCCAGAAAUAUUCGGAGAACUUGUUAGAAAGGUAGAUGCCCAGAACUCCCCACCAGCAAAGCCCUUAGUUGUGGAGAUGCAUAGUCAUGUCAAGAGAUGGGGUGAAAGGAACUGAUGGGUUCUACCUGAGGCAAAAAGAACAAAAUUUAAGC